AGCGAACGCUGGCGGCAGGCCUAACACAUGCAAGUCGAACGAACUCUUCGGAGUUAGUGGCGGACGGGUGAGUAACACGUGGGAACGUGCCUUUUGGUUCGGAAUAACUCAGGGAAACUUGUGCUAAUACCGAAUGUGCCCUUCGGGGGAAAGAUUUAUCGCCAUUAGAGCGGCCCGCGUCUGUUUAGCUAGUUGGUGAGGUAACGGCUCACCAAGGCGACGAUCAGUAGCUGGUCUGAGAGGAUGACCAGCCACACUGGGACUGGGACACGGCCCAGACUCCUACGGGAGGCAGCAGUGGGGAAUCUUGCGCAAUGGGCGAAAGCCUGACGCAGCCAUGCCGCGUGAAUGAUGAAGGUCUUAGGAUUGUAAAAUUCUUUCACCGGGGACGAUAAUGACGGUACCCGGAGAAGAAGCCCCGGCUAACUUCGUG
rnacentral:rRNA from 1 species